rnacentral:rRNA from 1 species
CCUACGGGAGGCAGCAGUGAGGAAUAUUGGUCAAUGGGCGCGAGCCUGAACCAGCCAAGUAGCGUGAAGGAUGACUGCCCUACGGGCUGUAAACUUCUUUUAUAAAGGAAUAAAGUGAGGCGCGUGUGCCUUUUUGUAUGUACUUUAUGAAUACGGAUCGUCUAACUCCGUGCCAGGAGCCGCGGUAAUACGGAGGAUCCGAUCGUUAUCCGGAAUUAGUGGGUUUAAAGGGAGCGUAGAUGGGUUGUUAAGUCAGUUGUGAAAGUUUGCGGCUCAAACGUAAAAUUGCAAUUGAUACUGGCAGCCUUGAGUACAGUUGAGGUAGGCGGAAUUCGUGGUGUAGCGGUGAAAUGCUUAGAUAUCACGAAGAACUCCGAUUGCGAAAGCAGCUUACUAAACUGCCACUGACAUUGAUGCUCGAAAGUGUGGGUAUCAAACAGGAUUAGAUACCCUAGUAGUC